rnacentral:rRNA from 1 species
CCUACGGGUGGCAGCAGUGAGGAAUAUUGGUCAAUGGACGAGAGUCUGAACCAGCCAAGUAGCGUGAAGGAUAACUGCCCUAUGGGUUGUAAACUUCUUUUAUAUGGGAAUAAAAUGUUCCACGUGUGGGAUUUUGUAUGUACCAUAUGCAUAAGGAUCGGCUAACUCCGUGCCAGCAGCCGCGGUAAUACGGAGGAUCCGAGCGUUAUCCGGAUUUAUUGGGUUUAAAGGGAGCGUAGGUGGAUUGUUAAGUCAGUUGUGAAAGUUUGCGGCUCAACCGUAAAAUUGCAGUUGAAACUGGCAGUCUUGAGUACAGUAGAGGUGGGCGGAAUUCGUGGUGUAGCGGUGAAAUGCUUAGAUAUCACGAAGAACUCCGAUUGCGAAGGCAGUUCACUGGACUGCAACUGACACUGAGGCUCGAAAGUGUGGGUAUCAAACAGGAUUAGAUACCCGGGUAGUC